GGCUCCAUGGUCAAGCGGUCAAGACACCGCCCUUUCACGGCGGUAACAGGGGUUCAAAUCCCCUUGGAGUCA
rnacentral:tRNA from 2 species